rnacentral:lncRNA from 1 species
CUGGGAUACUGACACAGAACUAAUCUGCGCUUUGCCCCAAGGCUGCGUCCAAUUCGAUCAGUGCAUUUACAGUGAGGCAUUAUUACCUCUGCCUCUCAGGGGAUGCCUGGUAGAUGUCUGCUGAGAUCAAGCUUUGCUCAUUCCUCUGGCCCUCCUGUAACGCUAGCUGGUCUUCCGUAUACUGAAGGACACAAGAAGGAGCCAACAGACGUCAACAUCUGAUUUAGAGAAUAUGAGCAACCAGAGGGCAGCUUGUGCCUCUCCUUUCUGAAUUGUCAGAAGCCAGCAUCGGAGUGACGUGCAGGAGGAUGAACAACAAAUGCUUGUUGAAUUAGGAGAUUGAAUUAGUGAAGCACAGUGGAUGGAUGCUGAAUGAAUGACUAAACAGAAAACGUCUCCGGUGAGAAAAGAAAGACUAAGUUUUCCAAGUGAGGUUUUGUGUGUGUGUAUGUUUCGACUGAUAAAAGCUAGACAAUAUGAGCUCAUCUCUUCGGAGUUUAUGAAAACUUACCUGUUGAAAAAGACUGGUGAAGAAAUGGUAGGAAGAAGACAUUUUUAAAGUUGGUGGAUUUCUUGCCAAUAUCUUCACUUGGGAGGACAUUCCAAUGGCGUCCUGUGGGAGUGAUAUCCCGCUCUGAAAGGCACGAUACAAGGUGAGGUAAAGGCCAUUUGGAGGUGCUUGUGAUUCUGCUGCACGAUGUUCAGAUCCCUGACUCCCCACGGAAUGAAUCUAUCAGACUUAAUUGCAUUUUCCUUCAACUUUGAAAACAUUCCAUUGGAAAACACUCCAGGUCAGUUGAUUGAUCUAGGUCUUUUCAGAUAAAUGUAUAUGCAGAACCCACAGCAUCUUUCAAUGAAUCAGAUUUUUGAAAAAUCUUUAAGGGGCCGGCCUAGUGGCAUAGUGGUUAAGUUGACACCCUCCGCUUUGGCGGCCCAGGGUUUUGCAGGUUCAGAUCCUGGGUGUGGACCUAGCACUGCUCAUCAAGCCAUGCUAUGGCAGCAUUCCACUAAAAUAAAGGAAGAUUGGCAUAGAUGUUAACUCAGCAACAAUAUUCCUCAAGCAAAAAGAGGAAGAUUGGGAACAGAUGCUAGGUCAAGGCCAAUCUUCCUCACACACAAAAAAAUCUUUAAGUGUGAUGAGGAGAGAAGGUGAGCAUAAAACCUUUAAACAAAUAGCU